GAUGAAGAACGUAGCGAAAUGCGAUAAGUAAUGUGAAUUGCAGAAUUCAGUGAAUCAUCGAAUCUUUGAACGCACAUUGCGCCCAUUAGUAUUCUAGUGGGCAUGCCUGUUCGAGCGUCAUUAAGUCCACUUAAGCCCUGCUUAGUGUUGGGAGACUGCUCCAGCGGUGCUACCCUGUAGCUACCCUGCAGCUCCUCAAAGACAGCGGCGGAGUUGUGGUAUCCUCUGAGCUUAGUAACUUGUUCUAGCUUUCGAGUACACCACUUCCCCUGCCGUAAAACCCUUAAUUUUUAAUGGUUGACCUCGGAUCAGGUAGGAAUACCCGCUGAACUUAAGCAUAUCAAUAAGCGGGGA
rnacentral:misc_RNA from 1 species